rnacentral:lncRNA from 1 species
AUUGAGGCGUGGUUUGAAUUUCGCGGACAAAAUUCUUUUAAGGGGUGGAGAAUGUAACAUACCAGAUUUUGGUAUAAAAAUAAAAAUAAAUAAAAAUAGUAUGAGAAACUAUUUUUAUUGGAUUUAUAGAAGUAAAACAUAAGUCAGAAGUGACUUGUGCUGAAAUCGGAAUGAAAAUAGAAAAUCUAGAAUUUUCUGUUGGAAACGGGACAGAUAGAAAAUGCACAGUCUCAGAAAAUUAUGAAAAUUGAAAGAUAAGUCAGAAAUAUUUUAUGAGGCUAGAUUUAAAAUUUCAUAUUUUUCUGACACCCGUAGAGUGAGAAAUAAAAUCCGACAGUUAUCUGAUAAAGAUUACAGUUUGGUAUAGUUUUCGGUGACCAAAUGGGGUCGAAACUGAAAAAUUAAAAUAUAUUCUUACUCAAUACGUU